ensembl:lncRNA
CCCAAUCCCACUGAGUUCCCAGGAGCAGGAGACAAGGACACAGGGUAUGAGAGGCCAAAUCCCCUCACUGACCCACAGUCACACAGAGAAAUACCCCCAGCCAGUCAGUCAGUUCCCAGUCACUGUCAUUGCUUCCUGCUACCCUGAAACACCUAGCCGUUGGUCGCCUGGUGGCCUCCCCACUGAAGAACAUGGUGGUCAUUUACAGAAGGCCAUUUGGACAGUGUCAUCGUGAAAGAUCCCCAGAAAGUAGAAUGUAUUCCAGUUGUCGAAUGUACAUGGAGCUCUCCCAGGACCUUCAUAGAUGGGCCAGUAGGACUGAGACAGUAAUGGGGUUUUUGGACUGUGGAUGUAAGACAACCGUGUCUGGAUGCGGUACACCUGGAGGACACACUAUUCUGGAGGCGUUUGUUAAUCAUGAGAUACUUUAUCAGCUAUCCACCGUAUCCUUGCAAAUCUGAGUAUUCUAUCCUGGUGUUCCACUCUGAGAGAGCAGGAUGUGGAUAAGCACACUGACUCUCAGGCAGAAAGAUGCCCAUGCUUCUGUAUCUUUCCCUUUGCGUAAGCAACACCUGCAUUUUGACUCUUGGAACAGUGGACCACACAAAUUGACAUUUUCUGACCAAUUAUGAAAGACAACCAGAAAGUCGAAUAUAUAAGGGUAGUUAUCAAAUGCCCCGAGUCCCCCCAACUUCCUCCCCAGUCCCACCACCACCCACAUCAACUGCUUUUUCAAAGCUUUCUGCUUCUUUUUGAGAGCAAAAAACCGCACAUCUUUCCCAUCUUAAAUGUUCCUCGAACGGGGCACCAAUUGCUUAUUGGAAUUUAUCGUAAAUUCACAUAUUAUGUACAUGUAGGUAUGAAUGUGUGAAGGCGUACGUGUGGGUGUGUGUAUACGUGUUGAGGGUAUUCAUGUGGUCUGUCUUAUAAGUCUACUAUUUAAAAUCACCACUGUAAAGUCAGCAGGAUGGUGGAACAAUAUUCUGUGUUGAUAUCAAGCUUCACAGCCCCCAGCACUCUACUGUACUUUUCAUGUGACACCUUCCUUUGGAAGUAGAGUUGUGUACUUUAGCAGUGCUUGAGUGACAAGGGAACAUGGGAAUUCAAAUGCUGGGCCACAUUUCCACUGAAAUGUUAAAAUGGUCCCCCACCUCGCAGUCCUCUAACUCCGCAGUCGUUCAUAAGACACUGAACCUUCAAGCCAUAAACAGAAAAGUGUAUGCUAUAAUUCCCCAGCUAAACCUGCUUGCUCACAUAUCCCAUAGUUCCUCUCUCUCUCAUCCACUUCUGCGGUAUGACUCUUCCCUCCUACCCCCCCAUGUCUAUAUGACCCUUCCCUUUUACCCCCCCCCAUGCCUAUAUGACCCUUCCCUUUUACUCCCCCAUGCCUAUAUGACCCUUCCCUUUUACCCCCAUGCCUAUGACCCUUCCCUUUUACCCCCCCAUGCC